ensembl:lncRNA
CAUCUCUCGUUGUGUUGAUUUCAUCAUGUCCAUUUGGUGAUGUUUUUUCACUAUUGAAUCAUAUUGCAAGUGCACUGGCAAUAUGAUUGUAUGUGAAAAGACAUCACCAAAUGGACAUGAUGAAAUCAACACAACGAGUGAUGGAAAGGAACAACUAUCACUGCCCGGCCAUCCCGAGUUCAUCUGGCCAGUCAAUUUUGCAUUUCUGCAGGAUUUUUGAGCAUGUCAAAUUUCAUAUGGUAAAUGCCCAUUGAACCAUAUUGCAAAUGCACGUGCACUUGCAAUAUGAUUGUAUGUGAAAAGACAUCACCAAAUGGACAUGAUGAAAUCAACACAACGAGUGAUGGAAAGGAACAACUAUCACUGCUCGGCCAUCCUGUGUUCAUCAGGCCAGUCAAUUUUGCAUUUUUGAGAAUGUCAAAUUUCAUAUGGUAGAAUACAACUAAAGUAUGUUGAUACAGUUCUUAUACGUGUGUAAUUGACACAAAAUUACAAAAAACGGUCCAGAAAGCACUUUUUUAAGGGUGUGUGAAGUUUUUUACAAAAUUUUGACAUUUUUGACUUUUGACUUUUGACUUCCUAUGAAAUCAUAUUGAAAGUGGACAAAACAUAUUACUUAUGCCCAUGUAAAAAAAAAAAAAAAAAUAUGAUGAUAAAAUUGGACAAAAGUAUAUUCAUACAGUUCUUACACAUGUGUAAUUGACAAAAAAAUCGAAAGAAUUUCGAAAAACGGUCCAGAAAGCACUUUUUAAGGGGUGAUAAGUUUUUGACAAAAAAUCAUUUUUUCAAAAUUUUGCUUUUGGAUGUUGACUUGGGUGCCAUUUUCCAAUAUGAAAAACCAUGGUGGAGCGAAUUCGCCACCUG